GAUGAACGCUGGCGGCGUGCUUAACACAUGCAAGUCGAACGGGAAAUAUUUCAUUGAGACUUCGGUGGAUUUGAUCUAUUUCUAGUGGCGGACGGGUGAGUAACGCGUGGGUAACCUGCCUUAUACAGGGGGAUAACAGUCAGAAAUGGCUGCUAAUGCCGCAUAAGCGCACAGAGCUGCAUGACUCAGUGUGAAAAACUCCGGUGGUAUAAGAUGGACCCGCGUUGGAUUAGCUAGUUGGUGGGGUAACGGCCUACCAAGGCGACGAUCCAUAGCCGGCCUGAGAGGGUGAACGGCCACAUUGGGACUGAGACACGGCCCAGACUCCUACGGGAGGCAGCAGUGGGGAAUAUUGCACAAUGGGGGAAACCCUGAUGCAGCGACGCCGCGUGAAGGAAGAAGUAUCUCGGUAUGUAAACUUCUAUCAGCAGGGAAGAUAGUGACGGUACCUGACUAAGAAGCC
rnacentral:rRNA from 1 species